rnacentral:rRNA from 1 species
GAUGAACGCUGGCGGCGUGCCUAACACAUGCAAGUCGAGCGGACAGGUACUGAUCUUGCGGCGUGGACGUGAGGCGCAGGGGGGAGUAUCACGCGUGUAACCUGUCCUUGUAAGUCGGAUAUCACCCGGAAAAUGGGGCUCUUACCGCAUAUGAGAUCUUGCACCGUGGUGGGGGACGGAGAGUUUCGGCGGUGGGGGAUGGUCUCGCGGCUCAUGCGCCUGAUGGUCGGGUAGUGGCGUACCAAGGCUGUGACGGCUAGGCGGCCUGGGCGGUGGGCCGGCCACAUUGGGACUGAGAUACGGCCCAGACGGCUACGGGAGGCAGCAGGGGGGAAUAUUGCACAAUGAGCGGAAGCCUGAUGCAGCAACGCCGGGUUCGGGAUGACGUCCUUCGGGUGGUAAACCGCUGUCGCCGUUGACGAAGCGGGAUUGACGGUAAUGGGUAAGGAAGCACCGGCUAACUACGUG